GAGCGACGCCGCGCGUCGUGUCUAGCUGGCGACGUCGGGCGUCCUGCCCCCAAAGCGUUAGGUGGGGAGUCGUGGUGAACGCAGUUCUCGACGGGUCGCCGAGAAGGUGUAACGGUGUUGUCCUUGCCAGGCUGCGAGCGGCGGCCACCCGUGCGAAAAGCCACGUGAUCCACUGUUGGACCGGCUUGCUCGGCUAUCUUUCUCGUCGGUCUUUGGGCCUCGUCGCGUGUGUCGAUGCUCGAUGACGUCGUAGCGAGCCGAUUCGCGAUAAUUGAAAGAAAAUUCGAAAUCGUGAACGCGAAGAAAGCAUGGUUGAUCGUUGAUCGAGUUGUUGUUUACCAUUGAUUUCGAGAAACAGCUAUGAUUCACGAGUUCUCGAUUUAGUUUGUUCGUCUCGUUUGUUUUCGUUUCUUUUUUCUUUUCGUGAGUCAUGAGUGGUGUUUCGAUUCGUGCAUGAGAAGGAUCGCGCGAGUAUCAAGGCCGCGCGUGUUUAGUUGGAAACUUGUCGCGCGGUUGCCCUUCUGGGAUACGUGUUUUCAUUUCGAUCGUGUUCGCCACGCGGCUUGGACAUGUAACGUAUUCAAACGGACACGUGAUUUCUUGUGUGAUACAACGUGGACCGCGUCGUGCAGUGUUUAAGGGUGUUUUUUUUAAGGUGCCGCCAAUGAAGGGAUAAGAAUGCGAGCGGUGGUCGAGGGGUAGAGGGUGCCACGGAUUUUUCGAGGUCGAGGAGCGGUUUGGAUAAGGCAUGCUAUGCGUCAGAAGACUGGAAACAGAUGUUCUCGCGAAAGAUGACAGGGUUAAGUAGAUAAAAGGAGCAGCUGCUGGUUCCAACGACCGACGACGAUUCAUCGCGUUUUCCAUGCAGUGCACAAUGCUCUGCCAUCGCGCCCUUGUCGUUCUCUUUGCUGUCAACGUGCCAAUCGGAUGCUCAGAAUUACCCCAUCCUCGACAAAAACUCCAUCCAGAAAGACGGAGAAAAAAGCCCUCUCUUCUUCUUCUUCUUCUUCGAGAAUAAAAAAAAAGGAGAAACGAAUGCAAACACACGAUGGAAACACACUCCACUCCUCGCCCCUCCCAAAUUCCGCUCGAAGUCAAUCAUCAAACAGUUCUCGGGAGUAAACUCGAAAUUGGGGCGCAAUCGGGCGAGCGUUGCCCGGCGCAAAAGCAGUUAGCCCGCUAAUUUCGCCGAGGCCCCCGAAUUGGAUAUCAAUUCGUAUCGCGCCAAUUCGCGGAUUGCGAUCGACACAGUUCGGUUUAUACAGCGAAAUCAAACCCCCUCCUCCCCCGUCACCGCGACGUCCGAUGCAGAUGCGAGGGAGGGGGGCAGAGGAAGAGAAGGGCGCAGAGAAACGAGAUUUGGAAACCUGUGCCAAACACGCGGACACGCGGGGAAGGUUUGGAUGAAUUCCGGAUAUGCGGGAUCCGGAAACCGACAUCGAGCACGGCCGAGAGGAGGACGAGGACGACGACGACGACGAGGACGAGGUCAACUUCUGCCGUUGAUGUUUGUUCGCCGAGAGCAACGGGGCUAAGGGGUAUGGCGACUGGGCUUGUCGUUCGUCGCGAAUUAAUUCACCGUUUCCGGGUCCCGAACCUUUAUCGCUCUUCGACGAGAUUCGAGGUCGGCGUUGCAUCCUUCGAUUUCACCCUUCGGAAUUCCAGCAGGAAUCCGGUGCGGAAUUCGAAUCGAGCUCGUUUCGUUCUCCUUCUAGAAAAUAAAUUGCUAAAUCCUUGUCCCUCUGUAUCCGGUUCCCCAUAUUUAGGGAUCGUAUGAUUUUAAUAUUUAAUAUCCAACGACGAGGGAUAAUUGGUUUAUUUGAUCGGCGCUGUUCUAAUUUUAAUUUAUUUUAUUUUAAUUUCGUUCGCUCGUCGUUUAAGAAAUAAUAUUUAAUCUGAUAUAUUUGGUGUCUAAAAAUAUGUGCUCUUCAAGGAAAUAGUGGAACAUUGUUUCGAGAUGUGAUAAUUGAUUUGAUUUAAAUUUUUAUAUAGGAUUUCUAAGACUUUUUCGUGAAAGAAAUCAAAUCUCUUAACGUUCUAAUUUACUCGCAGUUAUUUUUUAUUGUUCGAUUAUUGAUCGAGCAAGGGAAUAAUCAAACAAGUUUGCGAUAAGUUGACUCGAUUUCUCUCACCUGGUUCGUAUCCCCGACAAGAGGGAACGGUUGAUGGAAAAAUAAUUAAAUAAGUUUAGUAGAUGAUGUCUCGGUACACGUAUCUUGGCGCCCGGCCAAGCUACCCCCUUGGGGGAUAGAAUUUAGCAACGAUUUGUCUGGUUGAGAAUAUUCGAUGGAACAAAACGCGGAUUUACGCCAGUGGAUGAACAUAAGGAGCUUUAACGAACUUUGUCGUCAUUUCGUUACAUAAAUCUCCCCCGCCUUUUUCUUUUUGCGUAUUUUCGUUGUGGUAUUCCGUCUCUCGUAAUGCAUUGUACGAAUAAAUAUUAUUUCGUUUCUCGAUGAAUUAACUUGGAAUCGUUAAAUUUGUUAAAUUCAACAAGCAAAGGAAAUUUAAAUUUUUAAUGUAACAAUAUUUAUAACAAUUUCGAUAUUUCGAUGAAUAUUUCUGAAAGAAGAUUAGAGAGAAGAACGCUUUUGAAAUCGUUAUUGAGUUUUGUAACGUGCAAUUCGGUAUUCGAUUUACUUAAUCCUUUCACUCUCCUAUCGUCUGUCCUCCGAAUCGUGAUUAGGUUUGUACACUGGAAUCAGAUGUAGGGAUGGAUGGCUGAGAGUGUUUCCUCGUCCGGACGUCAAUCACCCAUUAUUCAGUUUAAAUUAUGCUCGACUAACGAGAAUGCAUUACCGUCCCUCUCGAAUACAUUACGCGUUCGACAAACGACAGAUAUUUCUGUAUUGUCUGUUACGAUUUACAACAAUACUUUUAUUUUCAAUCUUCGAGUGAAAUUCGCUCGAAUAAAAUAAAUCAUGAAAGGAAAAGGAGACUACUCGAGAAAUCGUUUUAUUAAUCGAUAUUCUAAUAAUAUUCUUCGAAACGAUCUUUCUAAAUUUUCUCGAAGAAUUGGAUUAACCAUAAAAAUGAUGCAACACCUCACGCUCUACCUUUGUUUUCAUUAAGUUAAGUUUGAUUAUUAUUUGUCGCAAGAAAAUCGGUUUAGCGUUGUCCGAAUAUUAACGUUGGACCUGCCGAAUCGCUCUACCAUGACCCGGUAUGGUGUAAAUACCAGUAUCUAUGUUUACGGUUGCGAGUUGCAUUUAGACCAACUACUUGCAUAGUAGUAAUUUGUGGAUUUAGUCGACCAUAAAUUCAACAGUCCUAACACUGAUUGCAAUAUGAUGUUGACGUAAGACGCUCUAUGCUAGAUAUCGUGCAUAUAUAGAUGUAACAGAAUUUUCGAUUAAUCUCAGGGCGGGAUUAUAUUCAUUAGCAUUGCUCGUCGAAACGACGAACAAGGUGGUUUGAUCUCUUUCCUUUUCUUUUUUUCAUAACAAUUCAGAGAAUAACAAGUUUCAAUUUAUCGGUUAUUUCAAUCAGAUCCGUUUUGAGAUAAAAAUUUUUUUAAAAUUAACAUCGCUGCAUUUUGAAUAAGAAGUUAAUCAAGGCUAGAAAUAUUGGAUUCAUCGUAGGAAUUAUAUUUUCGAUAUAAUGCCUGCGCACAUUUAUUAAAUGGCAUGCAAAUUAAUCCGAAACAUCAUAAUUUAUACAACUACUGGCUAUUCAAUCUCUUUGUAAUUGUUUAUCCGCUUUUCACACCCUGUUUCUUCUUCGCAAUUGCACGUUACACGUUACGUCAACCCGCCCAUCCAAUCAGCCAUAUUCAUCUAAAUCUAAUUCAACUCUCCGCUUUCUAUACCCGUGCAUAAAAUUAAUAUUCUUUGCGCGGAAAUUGCUACCUUGAAAUUGAAAUUUGCUUUGUGCGAAUUUAUAAUUUUCUACGGAAUAUAAUCGAUUAAUAACUCGCAUCGAUUGUCCAAUUUCGUUUCAUUUCGUUCGCUUCAUUCAAUAUCGGUAUAAACGAACAAAUUAAUUUUCCAAAGAUUACACGAUUGUAAAACACUCGAAAAUUAACUUCGUCGCUGCGUAUCGCACUCAAUGCCAUAACUUUUUAAUCCUCGUUCAAAGAUUCGUCGACGAUAUUAACCGAUCCCGGUCGAGGCGAAGAAAUUUCCCCUAAAGAGGGAGGGAAAAAACCGUGCACACAAGAAGAAAGAUACAAAAUUUCAUCAACAGGCAAAGCGUAAAAAAAACGAGUGGAGAAAAACUUACUACCAACUCCCCUCUUCUUUAUUACCACCACCUGGAACACCUGUUUGCUUCCGAUAUUCCCCUUCGACCAAUAUUUAUCAGUCGGCAUCGUGAUAAAUCCGUCUAUCCGUCACAACAGGAUCUUGUUUCAGACAGGUGCAAAAAAAAAAAUAGAAGAAUCGAUCUCGAAAAAUCUCGAGAUUCGAGCCUCGAAUCGAACCGAAAGGGAGGGAAUUCGUUCGUACGUGGAAGCACGAGGGACCAAUGGAGAAAGAAGAAAAGAGAAAGAGAGAGAGAGAGAGACAGAAAUUGAGAAUCCUAUCUCUUGGACGGAUAAGAUAAGAUUGUUUGUCCAUACUCUCCGGAUCACGGUCGGAUUCGUCGAUUGUUCCGCUUCCUCUCGUUCCUUGCCUCCUCUCCGCUCUUCCUUAUCUGAAAACAACGACCUUUCCGGGCAAAUUGGUUGGCUCGGGCUCGAAGUCUAGUAAAACGUGAUUAAUCGUUCCCUUCCUUUCCUCCACCCACCUUGACGCCGCCGACCCAUGGUCCUCCAUCAUCGGUUUCGUUUCACCAGGUUUCAUACAGGUGGACGCUGUUGUAUAGCGCGAUAAUCGGAUAAACCGGGGGCCCCGGAACUCGAUUGGGUCCUCGAGGGGGUCGAGCGUUCGAGCACUGGUUUUCUCCCCUUGGGACGAUAGAAGAAAGAGAGGAGAAACCAGGGGAAAGAGAGGAAAAGAAGGGGAAAAAGACGCGGUCAGCGAAAGUGUACGUUCGUUAGGGGUGGGUCGAGGGCGAGGAACUCGCAUCCGCGAGUUUUAUUUCUUCCCUGAACUGGAAAACCAUUUCGUUGAUCGUUCUCGGCUUGUUCUCUGGUUCCACACCCUUGUCUGAGCGAAUUAAAGUUACGAGUUGUUUUUUUUUGAGGAGCAGGAGGAGAGGGGAGCCAUAUGUUAUCGCGAGCGUGCGUUUCGUCCAACUUUGUGGAUCGAUUCGUUCAAGUUCUCUUUUCUUUUUUCUUCUUAAAUGAAAAUUGAAAAUCGAUGGAACCAGAAAUCGUAAUUUGUGUUUAUGAGUUGCAAGAAACAACGAGAAUUUGGAACUAUUGUUACUUAAUUGGAAUAUAAUUUUCUAAUUUGAUGUUACUUUUAUCGUGAAAAAUAUUUUAUGAAUUUUAUGAGUGUAGAACACGAUUUGAUAAUAGGUUUCGAGCCGUGCAAAGAUUAGAAAAAUUUCGUAAUAUGAUUUUUCUUUAUAUAAAAAAGGAAAACACGCGCUUUAUCGAAUAUGAAAUUUAUUUUUCCUUUCGUAUCUAAUAUAUUUGAUAUUCUCCCUGUGGACAACAGAGAUCCUUUAAUUGUUUCGAGCGGCGUUUCCACCGGUUUUAUUCCGGUAUUUUUAUAUUUCGUUAUGCAAAUUAAAGAGGUCGUUAUGCGGAAUAUUUUUUUCACGAACAAACGGGAUUAAAGGUAGGAACGUUGUGAGAACGAAACAACGAAAUUACACGUAAAGAUAAGAUGGCGCGUGACAAAGUAAAGAAACGUGGCGUGGAAAGUAGAAAUAUUUGGAAAUAUGAAGUUAGCUUGGAAAGAAACCAACGAAGAAAAUUGUGGUCCCUUGUUUCUUUCAUACCCUGAGUAUGAUUAAAUUUUAUCAAAAAGUCUGUUGACUCGAAAAAAAAAAAGAAAAGGGAUACAAAGAAUUUUACAAACAAAUAAUUAAAAGUAAUAUUUACUUAAAUUAUUCAAACUUAUCACUAAAACUCUUCUUCACCAAAUAUUGUUAAAUUUUUUCAAAAUCAUUGUAUUUGAUUCAAAGAAGAACGAAGUAUGAAUGAAAUUAUUAUCAGACAAAAAAUAUAUGAUUUAUCGUAAUAGAUAUCUUUAUCUUCCUUAAAAGUUAAAAAAAAAAAAAAUCUCAAUUUAUUCAAACGACAUUCGAUUAAGCAACGAUUAUAUUAACAAUUACGAUACGAUUGUUUAUCAAAAAUAAUAAUAAUAAUCUCUUGUAUCGCGAUUUUAAUUGACUAAUUAAAACACGACGUUUCCCCGGCGAAAAAUGAGAUAUAUCGCAAAUGAAGGCAAAAACGGAAAAAGGGGAACGGCGUUUUGUGCAAUUUUUCAAACGGUACGCUCAUUAUCGCGCGCGUGCAAAGCUCGCGCUUCUUAGCCACAGAUUUUUGCUCAUAAUUUAAAUAAUAAACGCCCCCCGUCAUUAUGUUAAAAUAUUGUUACGCGUAUGUCACGUCGUGGAAAAUAAAUACGAAUCGCCACGACCCCUUUACCCCUUUGUGUUGAAUCCAUAUCGAUCCUUCCGAUAAAAGAAAUGAAAUUAGACUUCUAUUGUUAUAUGUAAGAAGUUUACAACAAUCAGACAUUUAAUGAAAAUGGUAUAAAAUAAAUGGUCGAUCGGACGAAAGGAGAUGAGCUGUCAUUCACAAGAGAUAAGUUAUUCGAGGCUUUGUUUCAAGAAUAUUAUCAAGAAGGGUUUAAUUUCUCGGUCGAUAGAGCUUUCAAUCGUAGCUAGAAUAAUUAAAUUCUAGAUUUCGAGAGGUAACUAAUUUAUUGGACGGUUAUAAAUCAACGUUCGGCAUUAUUAAAUAUCUCGCUCUCUAAGAAGUUAUUUAUAUUAACACGGAAGAUAGCCUUUAAUUACUUGUGCUUUAAUUAGAGAGAUGAAAGAACUAUGCUCGUCCGCGUUAUUUCAUGCCGAGAGAAAUUCUUCUCUUGAAAAUUUUUACGGGGAAUAGGCGAAUCUAUAAAUCGCAGCGUAUCGUAAUAAAUAAAUAUUUGCACGUAUGUUGGAUAAUAUUUUUCGGGAAUAUUACAUUGGCAUUGUGUUAAGACGUAUCUAAAGGAAAUCUUGACGAAAACACAAUUACUAUAUUUAAAUUAAAUGAAUAAAAUCGUCAAAUAUUCGCCAAGUUAUGCAAAAUUCUAUAAAUAUUAAAAUGGAAUUCCUUCGAAAUUAUUAAUACGAGUUAAAAUUAUUUAAUUUUAAAAUGUAAAAGGAAUAAAUUCAAAGGCACUGAAGUUAAUAUGCAUACCUAAUAUCACAUGAAGUGUAAGUGCAUAUCCCUGUACGAUGAUAUUAUACGCGCGUAUCAAAUAUAAAACCCGUUAAAACCAUAAUUUCUCCUUUUCCCCCGUGAAAAAGAUUUUUUUAAAAAGUCGCGCGCAAUUCUAUUCUACGUUUUAAAAAAUUAUUAAACGUUUUAAAAAAAUGUUCAUUAAUCAAGAUAAAAUCAACUUCUUCGAAAGAAAGAAAGAAAAAACAUUGAAGUCCAUUUGAAAAAGUAUAAUACAAUAUAAUAAAACUCUCUCUCUCUCUUUCGCUCCCUCUCUUCGAAACGAAGAAUAGAAUCUACGUACAUAUACAUACCUAUCUUUCAAAUUAAACAAUUCGAAUCGACAGAAUACAGGUAACGUUCACAAACGUAUCGCGGCCAGAUAAAAGAUCUCGAGCACGUAAACGAAGAGAAAUAAACGACACGACGGAAUCAUUCCCGUCAUCUCGUUCCAGCCGACUUAAUAACGAUUCGAUUGAAACGAGAGCGGAAAGUCAUUGGACGUCAUCCAUCAUUUCUCACCGAUAUCUAGCACGGCAAUCUCCUCCCACGUUACGCGGAUAAAAGCGAACAUUCACCCGGUGCGUCGAGUUCCAUCAAAUUUUCUGCGGUCCAGAGACGUCUCCAUACCGAACGACUAAAAGACAGUAUUGCGAAAAGUAUCAUUGAUCCUAUGGAUACACGUGUGUGUGCGUAUGUGUGAAUAGGAUACUUCGAGAGUAUCGAAACUAAUCAUCUUUUACAUCCGAUUUAUUUUUGAUGGAAUUUCGUUUUAUUUAAUUAGAGUAUUAAUUUCUUUUCAGAGUGUCACAAUGAAUCCAAGAGAAUCGUUAGAUAAGAUUAAUUUUCAAAGGGGUAUCACGGUGAUGAGAAAAUUUACAUCUAUGCACACGUAUUUUGUACGAAUGCUUUCGCUUUUAUUUGUUAUUAUUUUUAUUAUUAUUAACGAUCAAUUCUUAGAACUUAGGAAAAAUAAAAAAAAAGAAAGAGAAGGAAAGAAAUCGAAAUGGACAAAGUGAAGCAAGAAUUUGGAGAUUGAUAAAAAAAGAAGGAAAUGUAAUGCGAUAUUAAAACAUCACACGUACGGAAAUAUUCGUGGAAACAAAAGUGACAAGCAAAAAAAUUGAAAAAACCGAACUGAUAUUUCUCUCUACAGAUAAAAAUCCAUCCAUUUCAUAAUACCCAUCGACCCAUUGCUUCUCUAACCUAUAAUCCUGAAAUACCCUUUACGUACUACAUACACAUACAUAUAUAUAUAUAUAUAUCCACGUAUAUAAAGUAUGGAUUUCAAGUCCGUGACAGAAUACAAGGAGGGUUCGAUUUGAUCGCAUUGCAUUGCGAGAGCACACUGGCUUGUAUCGGUCGUGGCGAGAUUCGAAAGUAGAUUGGGAAGAGUCGGGGCAAGCGUGCGGCAGACAGCCGAGGUAAUACAUACAAUCUCCCUUGUUGUCUGGCAUCGAGUUGGUGGCAGCGGGGGUAGAAAAACUAGAAAAGGAGAUCGGGAGGAGGAGGAAGGAAUCGAAGGCCUGGAAACGAGAGAAAGAAGAAGAGAGAAAGACGGUUUGAAAAGCGCGGAAGUCUUAUAAACAAUCCCAAGAGCGAACUACCCUCCAACCUCGUGCAAAGAGGAUCAAUGGCGGACGGAAUGCGUGUAAACACCGAACCAAAGUUACACGCGUGUUUCAGUAUACAUUUCUAACGAAUUGAAGUCAAGAAUAAGAAGAAUAAUUUAUUGUUAUUUAUUGAAUUUAUUAUCUAUUAUUCGAACCAGUUCAGGAAGAAGUAUUAUUCGAAAUUUUAAUUAAUUUUAAAAUAUUUUUACGCAAUUUUCUUUGUCUUUCUCGUUUCUUCUCGCUUGUUUUCCCGUCUCUGGCUUCUUCAUUGCGCGCCCCUCCGAUUCUCAAAUCUCUGGUAUCGAGGAUCGAUAUAGAUCCGUUUAACGUUUGCGUCUGGAGGAGAUGCGUUCGAGUGUCAAUAGCGUAACUCGUAGAGAUCGUCCUGUCGAGAAACGUGUCGCGCGCGUUUAACCUUUCAGAGUUGGUUCGAAUAAUUUGCGACGUGUCGAACGGGGUAUCGCAUGCUUUUCGUGCGAACGUGUGGAAUGUUGGGUAAAUUCUUUUCCUUGGACUGCGAUAUUUUAUUGAGGAAAUGGAUUGAGGAUAUUGUGGAGUGCACAGAGGGAGGGAGUGACUUUAGGUAUUGGCGAAGAAUUUGUUGGAAUAUUUAUUUAUAGAAUCUAUAAAUGUUAAAUUUGUGUUUUUUUGUUUGUUUGUGUUUAAAUUAGAUGUAUCGAGUUGAAAAAUUGAGCAAGAAUUUUAGAAUUAAUUUGUUUAUUUAUAAUUUGAAAAAACUGGGUCAAUGAAUGUAUUGGAUGAUCGAAACGAAUGUGAAAUAUAUUUAUCAUUGUGUUAUUUGAAAAUCGAGAAAAAGUAAAGAGAGAUCGAUGCAUGGAAGUAUAAAAGUAGCUGUGGCAGGUCAGUAUCUAAAAGUUGAGUGACGUAUCAUUUUUCAGUGUCCUAUACAUGGUAUUAGAAAUAUAGGGUCACGAACGGAAAUUUUCGCUUUUUUGAUAUUUCGCUUACAAGUUUUGAUAUUUCCUUCACGUACUUAUUUUUUACUCGAUUCCUGAAACGUCACGCGUUCUGUUGCUGACACAAUUUUAUUUCCUAAGUCUUUCUUUUGAUGCUGCAAUUUCACUUCCUUUCUUAACAUUUCUUAAUCAGAAUUGCUUCUAAUCGGAAAAAGAAAUAAAUAAAAAAGUUAUUAUUUAUAAUUAGUUAACUUUUGGAAACAAAUUUUUUGUUUUAUUCAAAUUCACUGUGUGUGAAGGGAAUACAUAACAAGAGAUCAUUAAUUUAUUGUUGGCAAAUUUCUAUUUUCAUUAAUAUCUUCUCUGAAAUUUUAUCCACGAUAUUCAAAAUAAUUUGCAUAAAUGCAACAAUUUUCGUUGCCUCGAUUAUUAUAAAAUUAAACUAGGAUAAUUAAAUGUAAGUGGCAAGAGUAGUAAAUGUAAAUAACGCUUUUAAUUUUUAAUUGCUACUAACUACUCUGACUUAUUAAAGCUAAUAGCCAUCUCUUUUUUAAUUUAAUAAAACUUUUUCAUUAUUUGUUGUAUACUUACGUUUCUCAACAGUCUCUGCAAAGAAUUAAAAUUGUAUCGUGUUAUAUUCUCGUUCUAUCUUCAUACGUGUCUUGUUUUUCUUUUUAUUUCUCUCUUUUAUCUUGCCGUUUUUUCCUAAUAUUAUUUUCCAUAGUUGAUUUUUUUUUUUUUGUCAAUAUUAUACACUUCGUCCCCUCAGUUUCUUUAAUUUUCUCUUUCAACGAUAUUUCUGUCACGUGCCCCAUUUCUUCCACUAUUUUAUUAUCUUUAUAUGCUUUUUCCAUUUUCCCCUCGACCAAUUUCUAAUUUUCCUUAUAAUCCAACCUUUUUAUCAGGAUACACACUUUUCACGAACUUUUCCCUUCCUCGUAGUGGACAUUCUUAUCCAGCGCUCUGAAUUUAUCUUCGAAUUUGCAUUUUCGUCUCGUUUCUUUUUCUUUCUUUCGCGCUGUUUCGCAAUUUUUCUCUCUCGUUAACUUUUACAAUAUAUCUAAGAUUUUUAUGCGAAAUUUAUGGAAUAUUCAUAUUCAUUAUUGAAUAUCGAACAACAAUGGAAAUGAUCAAUUGAUUAAACAGAAAAUUUCAU